rnacentral:rRNA from 1 species
UACGGAGGAUGCAAGCGUUAUCCGGAAUGAUUGGGCGUAAAGGGUCUGUAGGUGGUUGUUCAAGUCUGCUGUUAAAGCGUCUGGCUUAACCAGAUGAAGGCGGUGGAAACUGAACGACUAGAGUGCGGUAGGGGUAGAGGGAAUUCCCAGUGUAGCGGUGAAAUGCGUAGAUCUUGGGAAGAACACCUGUGGCGAAAGCGCUCUACUGGACCGCGACUGACACUGAUGGACGAAAGCUAGGGGAGCGAAUGGG